rnacentral:rRNA from 1 species
CGACUACAUGAAGCUGGAACCGCUAGUAAUCGCGAAUCAGCAUGUCGCGGUGAAUACGUUCCCGGGUCUUGUACACACCGCCCGUCGCACCAUGGGAGUCAGUAACGCCCGAAGCCGGUGACCCAACCAAGAAUGGAGGGAGCCGUCGAAGGUGGGACCGAUAACUGGGGUGAAGUCGUAACAAGGUACC